rnacentral:rRNA from 1 species
AUGAUGGCCAAGUUUCGCAUGAGCGACCUAGGGCUGCUCAGUUUUUAUCUCGGCAUCGAGGUGAAGCAAGGAAGGGGAGAGAUCAUCCUAUCCCAAUCUGCAUAUGCCGGCAAGCUGCUGGAGCGCGCGGGCAUGGCGGGCUGCAAUCCAACGCAUGUCCCCAUGGAGCCGCGGCUUCGUCUAAGCAAGAAUGGAUCAGAACCACAGGUGAACGCCACGGAUUACCGCAGCAUCAUCGGAGGGCUGCGGUACCUCACUCACACCCGGCCGGACAUCUUGUUCGCGGUGGGUUAUGUCAGUCGCUUCAUGGAGGCACCGAGCACGGCGCAUCUCGCCGCCGUCAAACACUUGUUGCGCUACAUUGCGGGCACGCGCAGGUACUGCUGCCGAUACACCAAGGGCGGCGAGAGCAAGCUCGUCGGAUACAGUGAUUCUGACAUGGCCGGCGAUGUCGACGAUCGCAAUAGCACCUCGGGGAACAUCUUCUUCAUCGGAGGUGCGCCGAUCACCUGGCAGUCGCAGAAACAGAAGAUUGUUGCUCUGUCGUCGUGUGAAGCGGAGUAUGUGGCGGCAACUACAGCAGCUUGUCAGGCCAUCUGGCUGAGCAGGCUCAUGGGCGAUCUGUUCAUGGAGGAGCACGGCGCAGUCACCAUUUUCGUCGACAACAAGUCAGCCAUACAGUUGUGCAAGAAUCCGGUCUUCCAUGAUCGGAGCAAGCACAUCGAUGUACGAUUCCACUUCAUCCGAUACUGCAUUGAGGAAGAAAAGAUCAAAGUCGAACACAUUCCUACAGGUGAUCAGCUCGCAGACAUGUUCACCAAAGCACUCGGGCGCACGCGGUUCCAGGAGCUGCGCUCGCGUAUUGGCAUGGUCGAAGUUUAA